GAGUUUGAUCCUGGCUCAGGAUGAACGCUGGCGGCGUGCCUAAUACAUGCAAGUCGAGCGAACAGACGAGGAGCUUGCUCCUCUGACGUUAGCGGCGGACGGGUGAGUAACACGUGGAUAACCUACCUAUAAGACUGGGAUAACUUCGGGAAACCGGAGCUAAUACCGAAUAAUAUAUUGAACCGCAUGGUUCAAUAGUGAAAAACGGUUUUGCUGUCACUUAUAGAUGGAUCCGCGCCGCAUUAGCUAGUUGGUAGGGUAACGGCUUACCAAGGCGACGAUGCGUAGCCGACCUGAGAGGGUGAUCGGCCACACUGGAACUGAGACACGGUCCAGACUCCUACGGGAGGCAGCAGUAGGGAAUCUUCCGCAAUGGGCGAAAGCCUGACGGAGCAACGCGCGUGAGUGAUGAAGGUCUUCGGAUCGU
rnacentral:rRNA from 1 species